AGAGUUUGAUCCUGGCUCAGGAUGAACGCUAGCGACAGGCUUAACACAUGCAAGUCGAGGGGCAGCACUGGGUAGCAAUACCCUGGUGGCGACCGGCGCACGGGUGAGUAACACGUGUGCAACCAACCCCGUACCGGGAGAUAACCCGCGGAAACGUGGACUAACAUCCCAUGACACUCGAGAGCCGCAUGGCUCUAGAUUUAAAAUUCCGGUGGUACGGGACGGGCACGCGCGACAUUAGGUAGUUGGCGGGGUAACGGCCCACCAAGCCGACGAUGUCUAGGGGUUCUGAGAGGAAGGUCCCCCACACUGGAACUGAGACACGGUCCAGACUCCUACGGGAGGCAGCAGUGAGGAAUAUUGGUCAAUGGGCGAGAGCCUGAACCAGCCAAGUCGCGUGAGGGAAGAAUGGUCUAUGGCCUGUAAACCUCUUUUGUCAGGGAAGAAUAAGGAUGACGAGUCAUUCGAUGCCAGUACUUGACGAAUAAGCAUCGGCUAACUCCGUGCCAGCAGCCGCGGUAAUACGGGGGAUGCGAGCGUUAUCCGGAUUUAUUGGGUUUAAAGGGCGCGUAGGCGGGACGUCAAGUCAGCGGUAAAAGACUGCAGCUAAACUGUAGCACGCCGUUGAAACUGGCGCCCUGGAGACGAGACGAGGGAGGCGGAACAAGUGAAGUAGCGGUGAAAUGCAUAGAUAUCACUUGGAACCCCGAUAGCGAAGGCAGCUUCCCAGGCUCGUUCUGACGCUGAUGCGCGAGAGCGUGGGUAGCGAACAGGAUUAGAUACCCUGGUAGUCCACGCCGUAAACGAUGCUCACUGGAUCUUGGCGAUACACGGCCAGGGUUCAAGCGAAAGUAUUAAGUGAGCCACCUGGGGAGUACGUCGGCAACGAUGAAACUCAAAGGAAUUGACGGGGGCCCGCACAAGCGGAGGAACAUGUGGUUUAAUUCGAUGAUACGCGAGGA
rnacentral:rRNA from 1 species